AGAGUUUGAUUCUGGCUCAGGACGAACGCUGGCGGCGUGCUUAACACAUGCAAGUCGAACGAUGAAGCCUAGCUUGCUAGGUGGAUUAGUGGCGAACGGGUGAGUAAUACGUGAGUAACCUACCUUUAACUCUGGGAUAAGCCUGGGAAACUGGGUCUAAUACCGGAUACGACCAAUCUCCGCAUGGGGUGUUGGUGGAAAGCGUUAUGUAGUGGUUAUAGAUGGGCUCACGGCCUAUCAGCUUGUUGGUGAGGUAACGGCUCACCAAGGCGACGACGGGUAGCCGGCCUGAGAGGGUGACCGGCCACACUGGGACUGAGACACGGCCCAGACUCCUACGGGAGGCAGCAGUGGGGAAUAUUGCACAAUGGGCGCAAGCCUGAUGCAGCGACGCCGCGUGAGGGAUGACGGCCUUCGGGUUGUAAACCUCUGUUAGCAGGGAAGAAGAGAGAUUGACGGUACCUGCAGAGAAAGCGCCGGCUAACUACGUGCCAGCAGCCGCGGUAAUACGUAGGGCGCGAGCGUUGUCCGGAAUUAUUGGGCGUAAAGAGCUUGUAGGCGGUUUGUCGCGUCUGCUGUGAAAGGCCGGGGCUUAACCCCGUGUAUUGCAGUGGGUACGGGCAGACUAGAGUGCAGUAGGGGAGACUGGAAUUCCUGGUGUAGCGGUGGAAUGCGCAGAUAUCAGGAGGAACACCGAUGGCGAAGGCAGGUCUCUGGGCUGUAACUGACGCUGAGAAGCGAAAGCAUGGGGAGCGAACAGGAUUAGAUACCCUGGUAGUCCAUGCCGUAAACGUUGGGCACUAGGUGUGGGGGACAUUCCACGUUUUCCGCGCCGUAGCUAACGCAUUAAGUGCCCCGCCUGGGGAGUACGGCCGCAAGGCUAAAACUCAAAGAAAUUGACGGGGGCCCGCACAAGCGGCGGAGCAUGCGGAUUAAUUCGAUGCAACGCGAAGAACCUUACCAAGGCUUGACAUAUACUGGACCGCAUCAGAGAUGGUGUUUCCCUUCGGGGCUGGUAUACAGGUGGUGCAUGGUUGUCGUCAGCUCGUGUCGUGAGAUGUUGGGUUAAGUCCC
rnacentral:rRNA from 1 species